rnacentral:rRNA from 1 species
CACGCCGCGUGAGUGAUGAAGGCCUUCGGGUUGUAAAGCUCUGUGGGGAGGGACGAAAAAGGUCGGCAAGAUAACGGUCGGCCCUUGACGGUACCUCCUUAGCAAGCACCGGCUAACUCUGUGCCAGCCCCGUCGGUGACUGAGCGGGCUGGCAAGGCGCAUA